GGAAGGGUGUCCGAGCGGUUGAUGGAGGCGGUCUUGAAAACCGUUAACUUCGUGAGAGGUUCAUGGGUUCGAAUCCCAUCCCUUCCGCCA
rnacentral:tRNA from 1 species